rnacentral:rRNA from 1 species
UGGGGAAUAUUGGACAAUGGGCGGAAGCCUGAUCCAGCAACGCCGCGUGAGGGAUGACGGCCCUUCGGGUUGUAAACCUCUUUCAGUACCGACGAAGCGAAAGUGACGGUAGGUACAGAAGAAGGACCGGCCAACUACGUGCCAGCAGCCGCGGUAAUACGUAGGGUCCGAGCGUUGUCCGGAAUUAUUGGGCGUAAAGGGCUCGUAGGCGGUUUGUCGCGUCGGGAGUGAAAACAGCGGGCUUAACUCGUUGCUUGCUUUCGAUACGGGGCAGACUAGAGGGUAUGCAGGGGAGAAUGGAAUUCCUGGUNUAGCGGUGAAAUGCGCAGAUAUCAGGAGGAACACCGGUGGCGAAGGCGGUUCUCUGGGCAUUACCUGACGCUGAGGAG